UACGUAGGGUGCAAGCGUUGUCCGGAAUUAUUGGGCGUAAAGGGCUCGUAGGCGGUCCAUCACGUCGGGAGUGAAAAGCUGGGGCUUAACCCCAGUCCUGCUUCCGAUACGGGUGGACUAGAGGUAGGCAGGGGAGAACGGAAUUCCUGGUGUAGCGGUGAAAUGCGCAGAUAUCAGGAGGAACACCGGUGGCGAAGGCGGCAUCCUGGACCAAUUCUGACGCUGAGUGAGCGAAAGCCAGGGGAGCAAACGGG
rnacentral:rRNA from 1 species